AAUCAACGCUGGCGGCAUGCCUUAUACAUGCAAGUCGAACGCGAAAGCGGACUUCGGUCCGCAAGUAGAGUGGCAGACGGGUGAGUAUCGCGUGGGUGACCUACCUUCGAGUGGGGGACAACCCCUGGAAACGGGGGGCUAAUACCGCAUAACAUCCCGCUCUUGGACGAGCGGUGAUCAAAGCUGGGGAUCGCAAGACCUGGCGCUUGUUGAGGGGCCCGCGUCCGAUUAGCUUGUUGGUGAGGUAACGGCUCACCAAGGCUCCGAUCGGUAGCCGGCCUGAGAGGGCGGACGGCACACUGGGACUGAGACACGGCCCAGACUCUUACGGGAGGCAGCAGUAAGGAAUUGUUCGCAAGUGGCGAAAGCCUGACGACGCAAUGCCGCGUGGAGGACGAAGAUCUUCGGGUACGUAAACUCCUGUCGAGCGGGAAGAACAGUGCGCGGGUUAACUACCCCGUGCGCCUGACGGUACCGACUAAAGGAACGCCCCGGCUAACUCCGUG
rnacentral:rRNA from 1 species